rnacentral:rRNA from 1 species
UACGUAGGGGGCGAGCGUUGUCCGGAUUUAUUGGGCGUAAAGAGCGUGUAGGCGGUUCGGUAAGUCUGUCGUGAAAACCCGAGGCUCAACCUCGGGCCUGCAGUGGGUACGGGCAGACUAGAGUGCGGUAGGGGAGAUUGGAAUUCCUGGUGUAGCGGUGGAAUGCGCAGAUAUCAGGAGGAACACCGGUGGCGAAGGCGGGUCUCUGGGCCGUAACUGACGCUGAGGAGCGAAAGCGUGGGGAGCGAACAGG